GAUGAACGCUGACAGAAUGCUUAACACAUGCAAGUCAACUUGAAUUUGGGUUUUUAACUUAGAUUUGGGUGGCGGACGGGUGAGUAACGCGUAAAGAACUUGCCUCACAGCUAGGGACAACAUUUAGAAAUGAAUGCUAAUACCUGAUAUUAUGAUUUUAAGGCAUCUUAGAAUUAUGAAAGCUAUAAGCACUGUGAGAGAGCUUUGCGUCCCAUUAGCUAGUUGGAGAGGUAACAGCUCACCAAGGCGAUGAUGGGUAGCCGGCCUGAGAGGGUGAACGGCCACAAGGGGACUGAGACACGGCCCUUACUCCUACGGGAGGCAGCAGUGGGGAAUAUUGGACAAUGGACCGAGAGUCUGAUCCAGCAAUUCUGUGUGCACGAUGAAGUUUUUCGGAAUGUAAAGUGCUUUCAGUNGGGAAGAAAAAAANGA
rnacentral:rRNA from 1 species